rnacentral:rRNA from 1 species
GACGAACGCUGGCGGCGUGCUUAACACAUGCCAGUCGAACGGAAAGGCCCUGCUUUUGUGGGGUGCUCGAGUGGCGAACGGGUGAGUAACACGUGAGUAACCUGCCCUUGACUUUGGGAUAACUUCAGGAAACUGGGGCUAAUACCGGAUAGGAGCUCCUGCUGCAUGGUGGGGGUUGGAAAGUUUCGGCGGUUGGGGAUGGACUCGCGGCUUAUCAGCUUGUUGGUGGGGUAGUGGCUUACCAAGGCUUUGACGGGUAGCCGGCCUGAGAGGGUGACCGGCGACAUUGGGACUGAGAUACGGACCAGACUCCUACGGGAGGCAGCAGUGGGGAAUAUUGCACAAUGGGCGGGAGCCUGAUGCAGAAACGCCGCGGGCGGGAUGACGGCCUGCGGGUUGUAAAACGCUUUCGCCUGUGACGAAGCGUGAGUGACGGUAAUGUGUAAAGAAGCACCGGCUAACUACGUG